GGAAAAGGGGGCAUGUAAUAUUCACUUGAUAAGAAUACUUUUCAGAAGAAGAUUCUCUCUCUUAUAAAGAUACAAAGACUACUUUUUUAUCAAGAUUCUUACCCAUAUUAUUUCACACAUUUACACCAGAUCCGAGAAUAGUCCGAACAAAUCUUGAAUUUAUCUGUCAUUCAUCAUUGUCAGGAGGAGUAUUCGUCCAAUUCAUCCUUUAUUGGGUGAAUCAUUUCUCUUAUUUACUUAAAUGCCAUUUAUGGCUAUUUAUUGCUAGUUACAUCUCCAUUAUUGCUCAUUCUUUAUGAAUGUUUUGUGCUUAUCAUUGUCAACACUUCAUUUGAUCUGUUCCAUCUCACGCACGUUUUCAAGACUUGCAUCUAGAGUUAUUAUCAUUAACUAGAUUUAACCCGUUAUUACAUAAAUUUAAUAGUUUAGCCAAAAAUUAUACUUUUUGGUCAAACAAACGGGAGGAAGAAAAAUGAAUCACCCAACAGCCGUAAAAAGAAAAUCGAACUGUGCAAAACAGAGUGAGGAAGAGGAUGAGCUGACAAACAGUGAGUCCAACUGCGUUGGCAGCCACGUUGACAAACAGUGAGUCCAACUGCGUUGACAACUUGUCGCUCUUUGAAGAUACAUAUCCAGCACUAACUCCAACCCUAUGAGAAUGAACUCAACACAAAUUAUAUAGCUUUAAUUUCAAACCUAAAAGGAAAAACAAAGAGGGAACGACAGAGAUCUACUAACACAAACACAAGGGAAGAUUGAAGAAUUGCACACCACGUGUUUGACAAAACAAAGCAUACCUCAACACCUGAUCAUAGACGCGGAAAAUAUCCUAUUACAAAUGGUCAUCUUCUCCCGUGGUGUGAAGAGUUAUAGUGGAAGCAACUUGACUUGAAUACAAUUCGAAUAGAACUCUCGAAUAUAAAAAAAAACGUAGGAACAAAAUCAACAGCCCACAAUACGCAGCUUUAAUUCCAAUCUUAGGGAAAAAACAAAGGGGAAUAGAGAGAUCCAUACCUAGAAGAAUCUAAAGAGAGGCAGAGAGGAGAGAAAGAGAGAGAACACGGGGUGAGAUGAGAAACUGAAGACCGUCCAGGCGCUUACGUGUUGAAGAAAUGGGAUGUACACGAGAACAACUUUAAGCCACUUAGAGGGUAGAUUUCCGAAAAUAACCUCGAAGCAAGGAUGCAAAAUUACAAAAAUAAGC
rnacentral:lncRNA from 1 species